UUGUGAUGAUGAUGAUGAUGAUGAUGAUCAUCAUGAUGAUGAUCAUCAUCAUCAUGAUAAUGA
rnacentral:miRNA from 1 species